rnacentral:tRNA from 1 species
AAAGGGUUGGCAGAUUGUAAAUGUAGUUAGCUUGAAACUAAUAAGAUGUAGGUUUAAUUCCUAUACCCUUUU